GGUCCUACGACAGGAGAGACCAAAGGCAUGGCAGGCAAGAAAUUCCAGGACCCAUUAGAAGUCAUGUGGCAAAUGCUGAAGGAAUGUCUGCAGAGAAGGCAAGAAAUGAAAGGAGAGCCUGUGCAGAAGGAAGCACUUCCAGGAGGAAGCAGUGGUUCUGUGCCAGCCUCUGCUGCAGGAAGGGAGGCCAUGCCAGGCACAGGCACAGGAGAUGAGGGUGUUGGGAAGGCUUCUCCAUCAGCUUGGAUGAAUAAAGUUUUGAAGCCCUUGCAGCCUCCUACAGGUAUGUUCUAAGUGUGCCACCAAGGAAGAAUUGUAGACAAGUGGGCAGGAACCAGGUGACAGAAGCUGCUGGGGCUGUUUUGUUACAGAUGUGUCUACAGGGAAGACUUCUCCAGCUUCUCCAGCUGCUACCUUGGAUGCUGCACUCAAGCCCAGCUCCCAUCUCAGGGGUGAGUAGUGUGUCCCUGCUGACCCACAGGCUGAGCCCUGCUUUUGUGGGAUCCAUUCCUGGGAAAUGGAACUACUUUCUCUUAAGGUCCUCCACCAGAAGCGACCAAAGGCAUGGCAGACAAGAAAUUCCAGAACCCAUUUGAAAUCAUGUGGCAAAUGCUGAAGGAAAUGCUGCAGAGAAGACAAGAAUUGGAUUUUGAGCCUGUGCAGAAGGAAGCAUUUCCCGGAGGAAGCAGUGGUUCUGUGCCAGCCUCAGCUCCAGGAAGGGAGGCCAUGCCAGGCACAGGCACAGGAGCUGAACCUGCCGGUGAAGGCCCCACAUCUAGGACUGAGGCUCUGGGAGAUGCUGAGGGUGUGUCUGCAGGGAGGACUUCUCCAGCUCCAGGGCUGGAUGCUUGGCCCCAACCCAGCUCCCAUGGCAGGGGUCCUCCAAAAGGAAAGACCCAAGAUACUGCAGCCAAAAUGUCUCAUGAGUCAGAUGAAUUCCUGACACAAACACAGAAGGAAGCACCCGGAGGACAAG